UCUUGGUCAUUUAGAGGAAGUAAAAGUCGUAACAAGGUCUCCGUAGGUGAACCUGCGGAGGGAUCAUUACACAAUAAAAUACGAAGGCCGUUCGCGGCUGGACUAUUUAUUACCCUUGUCUUUUGCGCACUUGUUGUUUCNUGGGCGGGUUCGCUCGCCACCAGGACCACAAUAUUAAACCUUUUUUAUGCAGUUGCAAUCAGCGUCAGUAUAACAAAUGUAAAUCAUUUACAACUUUCAACAACGGAUCUCUUGGUUCUGGCAUCGAUGAAGAACGCAGCGAAAUGCGAUACGUAGUGUGAAUUGCAGAAUUCAGUGAAUCAUCGAAUCUUUAGAACGCACAUUGCGCCCUUUGGUAUUCCAAAGGGCAUGCCUGUUCGAGCGUCAUUUGUACCCUCAAGCUUUGCUUGGUGUUGGGCGUUUUUUGUCCCCCCCAAAAAGGGGAACUCGCCUUAAAAGGAUUGGCAGCCGGCCUACUGGUUUCGCAGCGCAGCACAUUUUUGCGCUUGCAAUCAGCAAAAGAGGACGGCAAUCCAUCAAGACUCCUUCUCACGUUUGACCUCGGAUCAGGUAGGGAUACCCGCUGAACUUAAG
rnacentral:rRNA from 1 species